GAUGAACGCUGACAGAAUGCUUAACACAUGCAAGUCAACUGUGGCGGACGGGUGAGUAACGCGUAAAGAACUUGCCUCACAGUUAGGGACAACAUUUGGAAACGAAUGCUAAUACCUGAUACUGUGAGAGAGCUUUGCGUCCCAUUAGCUAGUUGGAGAGGUAACGGCUCACCAAGGCGAUGAUGGGUAGCCGGCCUGAGAGGGUGAUCGGCCACGAGGGGACUGGGACACGGCGCGUACUCGUACGGGAGGAAGCAGUGGGGAAUAGUGGACAAUGGACAAAAUUAUGUUCGAGCAAUUCUGUGUGCAAGAUGAAGUUGUCGGAAUGUAAAGUGAUUUCAGUUGGGAAGCGGUACCAACAGAAGAAGUGACGGCUAAAUACGUGCCAGCAGCCGCGGUAAUAC
rnacentral:rRNA from 1 species